rnacentral:misc_RNA from 1 species
GUUAUUAAUCUCAUUCAGGCUAUCUGCUUUGUCCUUAUUCGGCCAUUGUCUAAGAACACAUACAGAACGAUUAAUCGAGCUUUGGCGGAGUUGUUGUGGCUGGAUCUUGUAUGGGUUUUUGAUUGGUGGGCUGGAGUUAAGGUUCAAUUGUUUACAGAUCAGGAGACCUUCUGUUUAUUGGGCAAAGAACAUGCACUUCUCAUAUCCAACCACAAAAGUGACAUUGAUUGGCUUGUUGGAUGGGUUUUGGCUCAGCGGGCAGGAUGCCUUGGCAGUGCGUUAGCUGUUAUGAAGAAAUCAUCAAAAGUCCUUCCGGUCAUAGGCUGGUCCAUGUGGUUUUCUGAAUACCUCUUUCUGGAAAGAAGUUGGGCCAAAGAUGAAAGCACUUUAAAGUCAGGUCUCCAACGGCUAAAAGACUUCCCUCGACCCUUUUGGUUGGCUCUUUUUGUUGAGGGAACACGUUUUACACAGUCAAAGCUUUUAGCAGCUCAGGAAUAUGCAGCCUCAGAAGGGCUCCCUAUUCCUAGGAAUGUUUUGAUUCCUCGUACUAAGGGUUUUGUUUCAGCAGUGAGUAAUAUGCGCUCAUUUGUUCCUGCUAUUUAUGAUGUAACAGUAGCCAUCCCCAAAAGUUCCCCUCAACCUACAAUGCUCAGGAUCUUUAAGGGUCAAUCCUCAGUGGUGCAUGUACACUUAAAACGGCAUUUGAUGAAGGAUCUACCUGAAACAGAUGAUGCUGUUGCACAAUGGUGUAGGGAUAUAUUUGUUGCGAAGGAUGCAUUAUUGGACAAGCAUAUAGCGAAGGACACGUUCAGUGACCAAGAAUUGCAAGAUAUUGGCCGACCUAUUAAACCUCUUGUGGUUGUUACGUCCUGGGCAUGCUUGCUUGUUUUUGGGGUCUUGAAGUUCCUCCAAUGGUCUUCACUUUUAUCAUCAUGGAAGGGUAUUGCAAUAUCAUCAUCUGCACUGGCCAUUAUUACUAUCCUUAUGCAGAUAUUGAUACGCUUUACUCAGUCAGAGCGUUCGACCCCUGCCAAGGUUGUCCCAGCAAAGCCCAAGAAAGGAGACCCAUCAGAAACAGGACAAGACAAACAACACUAAGUCCCAUCCUGUUAGUUAAAUCUCACAUAUAUCAAUAACUUCAUCAAAAGUCAUUUUUGUGAAGGUACAUGUAGUGUCUCACUUUACAAUUCGUAUGUUUUCAUUAUAGACUAGUUGGAGCAGUAAUGUCUUUGGCUUUUGUUUGUUGCACAGUUUGUAUGCAUACCAAUUCAUUCUUGGCCAGUCGAUUAGGUUAAUUCUGUACAUUGUAUCAGCAAUGGCUCUAGCAUUAUGAUCAGUCCUUUGCUGAUACAAUGUACAGAAUUAACCUA